UCAAAAUGUUUAGUUUAAUUGCUUGGAUAAUUUCCCUUUGUUUGUUGAAUGAUUUAGCAGUUUAAUGGCAGGCUAACUCCAAUCUGCAACCAUGCACCAUACAUGGACUCCAAUCAAGGUUUACUCUACAAUCAUCCUUUCGUUACUUCCUCCACUGACGAAAUUUUUGUACUGUAUUUUUCACCAGAUAUUUGGCAAGCUAGGGCACUACCAUGUGAAACAUUGUGGCCGAGUGAUAGGGUGGAGAUAUAAAGGCUUCUAUUAUAUAGAGAAGUUGUGAAUGAAAAAGGCUAGAAAAAGGAUGUCCAACAGCCAUGGAAGUACCAUAUACUGUUUUCUGAAACAUCCAACAAAAAUGUACUGUUAUUAUCAUCAAUUCUGGCACAUACUGGCCCUAGCAAGUUGCAGAGAGUUCAGUGAAGUUGUGGUAAAGUACAAAGAGCGCCACUUGUGGAUGAAACCACUCAAGUUCCUUGCUUUCUAUGCACAUAUCUGCAAACUGCUUCAUCAAAAUAGUCCAGAGAAGUUGGUAAGAUGCUUAUCCUGGUGCAGCUUACGAGUAGAAUCCUCCUGAUCAUCAGUAUAUCUUCCGGCCAUGCAAAGAUUAGGCUGAGGCCACCACUCCAGAGUGUUGAGGCGGUGGCGGGUGCAGUGGUGGUGUUGCUGGUGGCGGCGGCAGCAGCGCUCCACGUGGGGAUCUACCUAAUCCCUGGAGAUGAGGGGUGGGGCCCGCAGCUCAUACACAGGUGGCUUCUCGGGGUCCACCUGCCUGGGUGACGUCGUGGUGACGCAGUUCUGCAUCCUUCGUGUGACAGGAAUAAAGAGAGAUGAACAGCUCGACAUGCUCUUCAGAUCAAUGGCGGGCAAAAGAUGCGCCUGAUCGCCCCACGCACACAUCACCGGCCGACGGAGCCGAAAAGGCGUGAGUAGCAAAGGAUUCUGCUGUUGACAGCGUGGGAGGGUCGCUGCGUCAAGGUCCUCGGGGCUAACCUAUCUUUUCUUUGCUGGAGUCUACCUGCGUCCUAUCGAUCUGAGGCUUCUGAUAUAUCCUUUUCUUCAACGCAUGACAGUGUCGUCGACAACUUUGGAAGAUGGCUAGCACAGUAAUGACGAAAAGAUGUGUCGACGUCCGUUUCCUUCGAGGACUGUCAGUGACGUGGUAAUAAAGAAAAGAUGUGUCUUAAACUGUCACCAUUUUUUUCUUGCCUAAACCGUCACGACUCACGAUCACUUCCCUCCCUGUUGAAAAGACGGCAGAAAAUGUCAUGGGCACUUUGGGACUUGCUUGUUUGAGCCAUGGUUUGUAAAUCACAAUAAAAUUAACUACAGUUUUAGUGCUGAAUUGGUCUUUACUAGAACCACUCUUUG